rnacentral:tRNA from 1 species
UUAAUUGAAGCCAAAAAGAGGCAGCUUAAUGUUAAUAAGUGAAAUGAUUAUAUUUAAUCCAAUUAAA